CUCGUAGGCGGUUCGUCGCGUCCCGUGUGAAAGUCCAUCGCUUAACGGUGGAUCUGCGCCGGGUACGGGCGGGCUGGAGUGCGGUAGGGGAGACUGGAAUUCCCGGUGUAACGGUGGAAUGUGUAGAUAUCGGGAAGAACACCAAUGGCGAAGGCAGGUCUCUGGGCCGUUACUGACGCUGAGGAGCGAAAGCGUGGGGAGCGAACA
rnacentral:rRNA from 1 species